UUUUUCAGAGCUGCAAGCAAAGAAUGGAAAUUUCCAAUUGCAGCAUCAAGAGCUGCUGUUCUGCUGACUGUCUUGCUCAGCCAGGGUCAUCUGCUUCUCUAAGACAAGAAAGACAUCAAGGAACGCCAAGAAAUCCCCACAGUGAGUGAAGAUGCAGAGAAGGGGAACCAACAUUUGUUAAGUAGAUAUGUUACAUCAUUCAACCUUUGCGUGACCUGCCCGGUAUUAACUCGUGAUUUCCUGCACCGAAAUUUUGGAAGUUUCACCUGUUCUUACUGAGACAGUCCUGCCUCCCCUCCCUCAAACUCAUCAUCUGCAAGCAUCCUGAAGAGUAGUCUCCACCUCUUCAAUCAUGUCAACAGCUCAGCUCCUUCUCACUGUAUCUAAGUUGAAAGAUAUUACCAUUCACAGCUGGUCCUGAUGUCUGAGUCAACAGGCGUCUAAGAGUUCCCUGAAUUCUGCCGUGUUUCUCCCCACCCACUACUGCUGCUACUACACAGAUCUGGCGGUGGCAGCUCCACGGAAGGCACGGUGUAUAGGUGUCAUGGCAAACAAAGUCAAAGAACCCAUCUGGCUAUAGGCCAGAGAGAAUGUUCUCAAACCCAGGUUCUGUGGUUUUGUUCAUGGGUGGUUCGUUUCUUAGUUGGUUUUUAGAAAAUUUGGGUGGGGGGGCAGGAUUUAGAAUUACUCUAGGAAGCAAAUAAAUAUAGCUACCUAUAUUUGUUGUUGUUAGGUACCGUCGAGUCAGUUCUAACAUAUUUACUCCCUUCUUACUGACAGCCCAUGGGACCAGGAAAAGAGCAAGUUAAGAAGGGUUUAUGACAUCACUGUUACUAUUUAUACUUAACAUUAUUUAUUGAGGCAAGUUUGGUAAUAAUGAAGUUAUUUCAGCAGUACAUUAGAAAAAGAAUCACAAGGCUAGUGGGUUUUAAAUGGAAUAUUUACCCUGUACGUCUUUUUUUUUUUUUAUUACAUCCGUAACUGUGGAUAGCAAUGUCAUCUUUGAAUAUAGUAACCAAUUUUAAUGCCCGUUAAUAAUGGAAGGGAGUCCCUGGGUGGUGCAAAUGGUUAAUGAGCUAGGCUGCUAACUAAAAGUUAGGAGGUUCAAGUCUACCCAGAGACACCUCAUAAGAAAGGCCUGGAGAUCUACUUUGGAAAAAUCAGCUGUUGAAAACUCUAUGGAGCGCAGUUCUACUCUGACACACAUGGGCUCUCCAUGAGUCAGAACUGACUUGAUGGCAACUGUUUUUUUUUUUUUUGAAAAAUGGAAGUGGAAGGGAGGAGAAAUGGCCAGCAAGGAUACUGUAGAUCUGUUUACAUUUCAGUCUCGAAAGCUAAUGUUUAGUUGAGGGAUUGUUUACCCGGAAUGUUUUCCUUAGCCCCUUAAACUAUUGAGGAGUCCUUAUGGCCCAGUGGUUAAAAUGCUCGGCUGCUAACUGAAAGGUCGAUGGUUCGAAUCCACCAGUUGCUGUGCAGGAGAAACAUGUGACAGUCUGCUCCUGUAAAGAUUACAGCCUUGGAAACCCUAUGGGGCAGUUGUAUUCUGCCCUAUAGGGUUGGUAUAAGUCAGGAUCAACUUGAUGGCAGUGGGUUGGGUUUUUUUCUUAACCUAUUAACACUGAGUCUGAGUCCCUGGUGAAAUUUGUCCAGGUGGUACUUUGAUAUGGGUCUGGGUCUCCACGAUAUGGAGCACAUUUCUGACAGGCUUCUUUCUAUCCUCCUCUAUAGCUGUCAUUAGCUAGAGAAUACUGGCCUCUUAGCUGAGGACUCUGAUGAUUCAUAUCUGUGGGUGGGGCUGAAUAGACUGAUGUAGGAUGAAUAUUUCUUUCCACUUUAGACCACAGAGAAGACUUUUUUUUUUUUUAAUUUGUGGUUGGAAUACAUGCUGUUUUAGAUGACGGUUAACUAUUUCAAACAUGGCCCCAAUUCUUUCCCUCCUAUAUCCCUAGCCCCUUGCAAUGUGAUUUUGCAGCUCCUCCCAACAAGAGGUGGAAUCUAUUUCCCCACCCCUUGAAUCUGGGCUGGCCUUUUGACUUAAGUCAGCCACUAGAAUGCAACAGAAGUAACAGGUGUGCCAGUCCCAAACCUAAGCCUCAAGAGGCCCACGUGUUUCUGUUCUCCUUCUUGGAACCCUGCCACUGCUAAGUGAACAAGCCCAAGCUAACCUGCUGGAGGAUGAGAGACCAGAAGGAGCAGAGAUGAGCUGUCCCUGCUGCGGCUAUCCUAGACCAGCCAGCCCCAAGAGAAUGCCCUAGCUGACCACAAAUUCAUGAGGAAGCCUGGGCAAGAUCAGCUGGGCCCUGCUCAAUCAAUAGAAACCACUUAGUCAACUCACAGAUUCAUGAGAAAUAGUAAAUGGUAGCUAUUCUAAGCCAUUAUGUUUUGGGGUAGCUUGGUAUGAAGCAAUAGGUAACGAAUACAAGUGUCCAAUUUUCUUCCCUGCCCACUCCCCCACCCCUCAACCUGGCUGCUGGGAAGCUCAGAGUCAAAUUUGAAGGUCAAUCACAAAAUCUCUAUUCAUUCAUUUAUUCAUGAUGAUUACACAUAUUUGCGAUCUUCUCUCUCUUUGGUAGUGAAUUUUUUAAAAAAUGAAUAACCUAUUUGUGGCACAAUGGGUAAGCACUUGGUUGCCAACCAAAAGGUUGGCAGUUUGAACCCACCCAGCGGCUCCAUGAGAGAAAGAUCUGGUGAUCUGCUCCAUAAAGACUGUUGUUGUUGUUAGCUGCUGUCAAGUCAUUUCCAACUCAUAGUGACCUUAUGUAUAUCAGAACGAAACACUGCCUGUUCCUGAACCAUCCUCACAGUCGUCGUUAUGUCUGAGCCCAUUGUUGCAGCCAUAUGUCAGUCCAUCUCGUUGAGGGUCUUCCUCUUUUUCGAUGACCCUCUACUUUACCAAGCAUGAUGUCCUUCUCCAGAGACUGGUCCCUCCUGAUAACAUGUCCAAAGUAUGUGAGACUUAGUCUCACCGUCCUUGCUUCUAAGGAGCAUUCUGGCUGUACUUCUUCCAAGACAGAUUUGUUUAUUCUUCUGGCAGUCCGUGGGAUAUUCAAUAUUCUUUGCCAACACCAUAAUUCAAUGGCAUCAAUUCUUCUUCAGUCUUAUUCAUUGUCCAGCUUUCACAUGCACACGAGGCAACUGAAAACACUAAGGCUUGGGUCCGGUGCACCUUAGUCCUUAACGUAACAUCUUUGCUUUGUAACACUGUAAGGGUUACAGCCUAGGAAAUCCUAUGGGGUGGCUCUACUCUGUCACAUGGGGGUCGCUUUGAGUCGGAAUCGACUCAAUGGCACCUAACAACAACAUUGUUUGCCAAGUUGGUUGUAAGUCAAUUCAAUUCUUUGUUUUAAAUAUUUAGGUGGUUUUUAUUUAUUCAGGUUAGGAGAAAUGAAUCUAGAACAGGGGCUGGCAAACUUUUUCUCUGAAGGGCCAGCUAGUAAAUAUUUUAAGCUUCAAGAGCCAUACAGUCUCUGUCACAACGGCUCAACACUGCUAGUAUAGCACUAAAGCUGCCAUAGACAACAUGUAAAUAAAUGAGCAUGGCUGCAUUCCAAUAAAACUUAAUUGCAAAAACAGGCGGUGGGCAGGAUUUGGCCCUCAGGCCAGUUUGCUGACCCCUGAUCUAGAGCAAUAUACGUUACUAUGCAAAAACAUCUUCACCUACACAAUGAUCCCGUCAACUUUAUUGUAAUUCAUCUCAAUUACUUUGGGGGAAAAAAAAAAAAAACAGACACAUUUAGUAACUUUCCUCCCUCUGUCAGAAGUCAAGAAAGGUCUGACUGUAGAGCAACCCCUUAUAGAGAUGAUAGUGUGUUUGCACUGCGGCCAGUACUACACGGAACAGCUUAAAAUUCCCUGGUACCUCUUAGUCCCUGCCUGGUUCUUUAGUUAAUACUGAAGGCCAAGUGCCACAUGCAAUGUCUCAUUUAUUUUGUUUCAUUUCACAGCCUCCAAUCUCAAACACCUUCUACCGGAUCAGUGAAAAAGAGGGUUGGUAGAGGGUCAGUGAAAAAGAGGCAGACCACCGAUGAGAUGGAUUGAUACAGUGGCUGCAACGAUGGGCUCAAACACAACAAUUGUGAGGAUGGUGCAGGACCGGGCAUGUUUUGUUCUGCUGUACACAAGGUUGCUGAGUCAGAACUGACUCAACGGCACCUAACAACAACAACAAUCUCAAACAAUCUGAACCGCAUGCUGCACGUCACGGUGAAGAUGGAGCUCCAGUCGUACUUGGCUGCUUGGAGUUCCCUGAACGUAUUGUGCUAUUUCACGCCUCUGUGAUUCUGUACACAGUGUUCCUUCUGCCUGGGACACACUUAGCCUUCUUCUCUCACUGGCUAACGCCUACUCACUGAUCAAGACGAAGCUCAACGGUACUGCCUCUGGAAGACUUUCCUGAGUGCACUUCCAUCUCCUCACUCUAAACUUCCAGUCUGCACACUCAAUGCCAGCAUUUAUUCUAUUAAGUUAAUAGCUAAACUAGCUAAUGCGUGUGCAAUCCCUGGAUGGUACAAAUGGUUAAGUGCUCGACUACUAGUCAAAAGUUGGCAGUUUGAGCCCACCCAGAGGUGCCUCAGAAGACAGUCUGAGAAUCAGCUUCUGAAAAGUCACAGCCAUUGAAAACCCCGCAGUUCUACUCUGGGCACAUGGGGUUGCCAUGAUCGAAACUGACUUGACAGCAACUAACAACAACAAUGAUGUGGUAGGCACUGUUACAUAUAGUCAUUUAAUUGAAAUUAUUGAUGUACUUGUCUGUUUCCCCAAUUCAAUCAUUCAUGAAAACAUCUCCGUACUUCCCAACUUUAAGGCAAAAAAAGAGAACUAAAAGACAAACCUAUAUCAUGAACUGUAGGCCACCGAGGGCAUAUAUUAUGUCUUAUUUGUCUUUAGUUCACAUACCUACCAGUGUCUGGAACAGAGAUUUUAAAUUAAUAUCAUACGAAUGAAUGGAAAUAGCUAACACUUACUUAGUACAUAUGUGCUAGGCAGUGUUCUAAGUUCUUUACAUGUCUAAACUCAUUUAAUUCUUGUAACAACCUUAUGGGGUAACUGGUAUAAUGACCUGUCUUCCACCCAUGGGACAUCUAAGGCACAGAGAAUUUUUAAGGAACUUGCCCAAGGUCACACAGCUAGUAUGUGACAGAGCUGGGGUUUGAACUCAGGCAGUCAGUC